rnacentral:lncRNA from 1 species
GUAAUUGGCAUCGCUAAGUUUUCCGCUGAUUUUCUACUUAGAGUUGUUAAGAAUUUUAUAGGUUGGCGAAUUUCGUAAAGUUGGUUGGAGUCUUGAAGAGUUGAUCGCAGAAGUUUCGAAGAAAAGAUUCAAAUUGAAAGAAUAAGACUCAUUCGGAAAGCUCGACACCCAAGGUAUAAAGAAAAGAUUAUUUGUGGUGAAUAUACCUAAUUAGACUAAGUUCAGAAGGUUUAGAUUACUUCAAAAACUCUUUAC